rnacentral:miRNA from 1 species
GCCUUGCUGGAGGAAAUGUGUCACUGGGGACUGGCUUUGAGAAUCCAUGGUCUCCUCUCACUUCCCGUUCACUCUCUCUUCUUGUGUUUGC